CCUUGCAUUAAGUCAUGCAAAACCCAGCAAGUCCUCUCCAGAAAGCUGUACAUUUCAGCCAUGUAAAUGGAUAAUUCCUGGGCGCCAGGUGAAGCCUACUGGACCAAUUACUUCUUUGCCUAAUAAGUGAAUGUCGCACUUGUGGAAUAUACCUGACCAUGCUCCAGAGGCUGUCCAAGAGAUGGAGGUGCAGGAUGUGGAAGAUGUUAUGUUCGCAAGGAUGAAAAGUCUCAUAUUUUGUUAGGGGAAUGAGCCCCAACUGUCGAUAACCCAGGGCUUAGUUGAGUUUAUUGAGAGCUGCACAAGAGACAAGAGAACAUCAGAGAUGUGGCAGAAACUCCAUAUUGGUCGUCUCACCAGUUCUCUUUUUGGUGAUGUCUUGAAAGCUGGAUCCAAUCCGAAAUCUUUGAUAAAGCAAAUUAUUGAGGGUUCCAGUCUUAAUAAGUAAGCUGAACAAAUUAUGACUAAUUCUUAUCUUAUUCCAUAGAAACUAUCAUAUAUAGGAUUUUUUAUUUCUUAAAUGGA